rnacentral:rRNA from 1 species
GAUUUAUUGGGUUUAAAGGGAGUGUAGGCGGUUUGUUAAGCGUGUUGUGAAAUUUAGGUGCUCAACAUUUAACUUGCAGCGCGAACUGUCAGACUUGAGUACACGCAACGUAUGCGGAAUUCAUGGUGUAGCGGUGAAAUGCUUAGAUAUCAUGAAGAACUCCGAUUGCGAAGGCAGCAUACGGGAGUGUAACUGACGCUUAAGCUCGAAGGUGCGGGUAUCGAACAGGAUUAGAUACCCUGGUAGUCCGCACAGUAAACGAUGGAUGCCCGCUGUUAGCGCCUGGCGUUAGCGGCUAAGCGAAAGCAUUAAGCAUCCCACCUGGGGAGUACGCCGGCAACGGUGAAACUCAAAGGAAUUGACGGGGGCCCGCACAAGCGGAGGAACAUGUGGUUUAAUUCGAUGAUACGCGAGGAACCUUACCCGGGCUUGAAUUGCAGAGGAAUUAUUUAGAGAUA